GAUGAAGAACGUAGCGAAAUGCGAUAAGUAGUGUGAAUUGCAGAAUUCAGUGAAUCAUCGAAUCUUUGAACGCACAUUGCGCCCGCCAGCAUUCUGGCGGGCAUGCCUGUUCGAGCGUCAUUUCAACCCUCGAGCCCCCCCGGGGGCCUCGGUGUUGGGGGACGGCACACCAGCCGCCCCCGAAAUGCAGUGGCGACCCCGCCGCAGCCUCCCCUGCGUAGUAGCACACACCUCGCACCGGAGCGCGGAGGCGGUCACGCCGUAAAACGCCCAACUUUCUUAGAGUUGACCUCGGAUCAGGUAGGAAUACCCGCUGAACUUAAGCAUAACAAUAAGCGGAGGA
rnacentral:misc_RNA from 1 species